UACGUAGGGUGCGAGCGUUGUCCGGAAUUAUUGGGCGUAAAGGGCUCGUAGGCGGUUUGUCGCGUCGGGAGUGAAAACACCGGGCUUAACUCGGUGCUUGCUUUCGAUACGGGCAGACUAGAGGCAUGCAGGGGAGAACGGAAUUCCUGGUGUAGCGGUGAAAUGCGCAGAUAUCAGGAGGAACACCGGUGGCGAAGGCGGAUCUCUGGGCCUGUCCUGACGCUCAGGCGCGAAAGCUAGGGGAGCAAACAGG
rnacentral:rRNA from 1 species